UACGAAGGGGGCUAGCGUUGCUCGGAAUCACUGGGCGUAAAGGGUGCGUAGGCGGGUCUUUAAGUCAGGGGUGAAAUCCUGGAGCUCAACUCCAGAACUGCCCUUGAUACUGAAGGUCCUGAGUUCGGGAGAGGUGAGUGGAACUGCGAGUGUAGAGGUGAAAUUCGUAGAUAUUCGCAAGAACACCAGUGGCGAAGGCGGCUCACUGGCCCGAUACUGACGCUGAGGCACGAAAGCGUGGGGAGCAAACAGG
rnacentral:rRNA from 1 species